rnacentral:rRNA from 1 species
UACGUAGGGUGCGAGCGUUAAUCGGAAUUACUGGGCGUAAAGGGCGCGUAGGCGGCAUGGCAAGUGGAAGGUGAAAUCCCUCGGCUUAACCGAGGAACUGCCCUCCAAACUGCUUUGCUUGAGGCCGGGAGAGGUGAGUGGAAUUCCCAGUGUAGCGGUGAAAUUCGUAGAGAUCGGGAAGAACAUCGGUGGCGAAAGCGCUCUGCUGGACUGCAACUGACACUCAGGGACGAAAGCGUGGGGAGCAAACCGG